rnacentral:lncRNA from 1 species
CAAGCUCUCCUGGUGCCAUCGUCUCUUCCUGAUCGUCUGCCCCGCCCUAACGCGUCUCACCUGGUGCCAUGGUCUCUUCCUGAUCGUCUGCCCCGCCCUAACGCGUCUCACCUGGUGCCAUGGUCUCUUCCUGAUCGUCUGCCUCGCCCUAACAAGCUCUCCUGGUGCCAUCGUCUCUUCCUGAUCGUCUGCCUCGCCCAAACGUGUGUCACCUGGUGCCAUCGUCUCUUCCUGAUUGUCUGCCCCGCCCUAACGCGUCUCACCUGGUGCCAUGGUCUCUUCCUGAUCGUCUGCCCCGCCCUAACGAGUCUCACCUGGUGCCAUCGUCCACCUGUGUUCCGUCUGUCCACUCUGCUCGCGAGCCUUUCCCUCCAGUCAGCAGCGUCUGGGCAUGAACCUUAUUAUGGAGCCAUUCGGAGGGAAAUUUAGAAGGUGGCUCUUGACAAGAGUUCAUUCACAGGUUGACGGAGAGCCGGCUCCUCGGAAGUGUGCAAAGAUCCUCCACACGUCGCAGUCCAUUUUCAUUGAUCAUCACCUGUGAUCACCCAUCUCGUGUCACGUCUGAGAGGACUAAUCAGAAUCAGCCCUCUGCAACCUUCUGUCAGGAUUCAGCAACGUAUUGCUGCGCGAGCCACGGGGACAGGUCUUUGAGAGUGUGACCGGGAUGUGGAUGAGCACCUUCCCUUUACCUUGCCUGCCCCCCUGCACACGGAUGGCACCAGAGCCAGGCUGUGAGCUGGUGCGGAUGUAACGUAAAAGUGUGCUUGCAUAAGCACAGAACGCCAAGAGAGCGCUCACACAUCCGCACUGAUUUUUCUUUUGCCUUUGAAUGUUUGCCACAAAAUUAAAAAAAACAAACUCAAUCAUCUCCCUUGUGACUUUUUCUUUCUUCUCUUUCACAGCAGUCACCUUUCCUGAGAAGGGACGUGUUUUCUGAAUUUCUAAAAUCUAGUUCAAUGAGAGUUAAUUAACAUGGAUCACACUGUCUUUCUUUCUCCUUUCUUUCUCUUUUUUCAUCACACCAUUAAAAAGCCUUGCUGUACUUCAUGAAAAAUGAACGGAGCUCUUCCCCCAUCUUGUGGCGCCUCUGCGUCAUCACACCCCGACUCGCUGGC